GUAAAAGAGAAGAGAGGUCCAAACUGAAAUCUGAGGAGCCUCAACAUUCAGAACUCAACUGGGCGCUGUGGCUCAAGCCUGUAAUCCCAGCACUUUGGGAGGACGAGGCAGGCAGAACACCUGAGGUGAGAAGUUUGAGACCAGCCUGGCCAACAUGGCCAAACCUUGUCUCUACUGAAAAUAUAAAAAUUAGCCAGGCAUGGUGGCGAGCGCCUGUAAUCCCACCUACUCUGGAGGCUGAGGCAGAAGAAUCUCUUGAACCUGGAAGGCGGAGGUUGCAGUGAGCCGAGAUCACACCACUGCCCUCCAGCCUGGGCGACAGAACAAGACUCCGUGUCAGAAAAAAAAAAAGAAAAGAAAAGAAAAAGAAAAAGAAAAGAACUCGGUGGAGCACAAGUAGCUGAGUAAUGCCCCAGAAGCCGGCAUCAUUGUUGGACAGCUCAGAUGUUCAGGAUGUUUCAUUUUGAGCCUACCUCAUUGGAAUUUCAAAAUAUUGGCCUCUUUGGAGCAAUACAGAGCAAGUCUGUUCCUUCAAGUAGAUGAAAAGCUCCCUGCAUGUCUUCCAUUGGACUUCUCCCCUUUAGCUUAAAAAUAUCCACAGUCCUGAAACAUGGCUCAGAAGCAGAUAUUACCCAAACCCUACUCUUAAAGCUCGGCCAGCCAGCCACAUGCAGGACCCUGAAGCAAAUAAGAGGCAGUGACCUGAGAAGCUACGUAUUGACACGGCGCUACCACGGGUGGAGGAGCCUGCAUUGCUGAAUCACAGGAUGAAGGCGAAUCCCUGCCAGCCUCCAUCCAUCUCUGGGGUGCUUAGCAGAAUCCUCAGCUCACAAGAUGAAUAAAUGCAGACUAAAUGAUGCACAAAUAAUCUUCACACACAACCAUCAACACAUGGAAAGACUGCAGGACGGCCAGAUCCCAAGCUAACAAACAGGGGAAGAUGAUGUUUCAAAUGAUCAUCUGAAUGCUGGGUUUCCACCUUCCACCAGGAAGUCAUAUGGUAAAAAGAAAAAAAAUGGCAUUAUGAUACAAACAGAAAAUGUAACAGUGGAGUGCAGAAAAUACAAAAAAAAGGAAAAAAUAAAUAGAAAAUCUUCAAAGAGGCAAUCUGUUUAAAUCUUCAAGAACUGGAAACAGUAAAAGUGAACAGGUUUUUAUUGAGCAUGUCAAUAAAAUGUUUGCAUAAGA